rnacentral:lncRNA from 1 species
UUUUUUUUUUAUCUCUUUUAUCAUUUAAUUAAGUAUGUAAAAAUAUUUUUAUUUUUUAUUUAAAUUUAUAUUACUUAAAAAUUUAUAUCAUAUAUAGAGAGAGAGAAUCUAGCUGGGAUACUAUCGAUAGCACCAAGCAUUUAGUACUACCAAGUUUUUCGCCGUUAGAUUUAACCAUUUGACUAUUUUCACUCAUUAAAUUAUGUUAUUCAACUAACAACUUACUCUACUUCAGGAGCCCACAUUAUUCUAAUCGUACAUUUUUUCAUCUAAGAACCGAAAAUCUAAUAGCACAAACAAUUGGUACUAUUAAUAACAUUUCAGUCUAGUUAUAUAUAUAUUACCAUACUAUUGAU